rnacentral:misc_RNA from 1 species
UACGUGUCCGGCGUCUAGCAGGCUUGUUCGGGACGCGUUUCGUUCCCCCGGUGGCUUCUCCAUGGGAGGUGUCGCCGGAUGGAUCGUUGCGUCUCGUCUUGCGAUGGGACGACGCAUGAGUGGUCAUUAGGAUGUGUUUCCCAAGCAGGCUCCGUGUUCCUGGCAUCGAACUGCUUGGGCCUACCUAUUUCAUCCGUGGGUUCGCCUCGGCGUUUUCAGGGUCGGCUGCGACUUCUCGUUGGGUUUCUGUGCUUGAUAUCGAAUUCGGUAGAUCGAUGGACUGCUGUUCCCCGUCACGGCUUAUCGAUUCUCCUCAGCCUUUCGGGGCGACGGUGGAUAUCGCGGGGGCAUUGACGUUUUCCUUCCGAGCGGUUGUUCCCCUCUGGGCGCUCCUGCUCGUGAUGGCACGUGGAUGCUGCCGACGCUCUUGGGUACGGGUUAUUUAUGUUUGUUCCAUAGGUCUCCGGCCUUUGCGAACGUGGUGUAUCGAAGCAUUCUUGCUUCUGCGUGUAUGACCCUCGUGCUCGUCUAAGAGCUCACGGAGCCUCUUNCGUUCGGUGUUCUUCUUGGGGAGUCGUCGAGGUCUACAAAGGAAUGCUACCUGGUUGAUCCUGCCAGUAGUCAUAUGCUUGUCU